rnacentral:rRNA from 1 species
AACGAACGCUGGCGGCAUGCUUAACACAUGCAAGUCGAACGCCCCGCCAGUGGAGUUGCAGACGGGUGAGUAACGCGUGGGAACAUACCCUUUCCUGCGGAAUACCUCCGAGAUACUGGUAUUAAUACCGCAUACGGCCUACGGCGGAAAAAUUUAUCGGGGUAGGAUUGGGCCGCUGGGGAUUAUCUAGUUGGUGGGGUGAAGGCCUACCUAUGCGACGGUCCAUAGCUGGGCUGAGUGGAUGAUCCUCCACAUUGGGACUGAGACACGGCCCAAAAUCGUACGGGAGGCAGCAGUGGGGAAUAUUGGACACUGGGCGCAAGCCUGAUCAAGCCAUGCCGCGUGAGUGAUGAAGGCCUUAGGGUUGUAAAGCCCUUUGACAGAUGAAGAUAAUGACGGUAGUCGGAGAAGAAGCCCCGGCUAACUUCGUG